rnacentral:tRNA from 1 species
GAGAAAGUGGCAGAUUGGUGAUGUGUAUGACUUGAAAUUAUAUUAAGGGGGUUCGAUUCCCCCCUUUCUUA